GGCGGCAUGCUUAACACAUGCAAGUCGAACGGACGACCUUCAAUUGAAUCUUCGGAGGAAAGCGAAGGAAGUUAGUGGCGGACGGGUGAGUAACGCGUGGGUAACCUACCCUUAAAUUGGGACAACAGUUGGAAACGACUGCUAAUACCGAAUGUGAUAUUCUGGAGACAUCUCCGGGAUAGGAAAGAUGGCUGAGCUUGAUGCUAUCGUUAAAGGAUGGACCCGCGUCUGAUUAGCUAGUUGGUGAGGUAGAGGCUCACCAAGGCAUCGAUCAGUAGCCGACCUGAGAGGGUGACCGGCCACAUUGGGACUGAGACACGGCCCAGACUCCUACGGGAGGCAGCAGUGGGGAAUUUUCCGCAAUGGGCGAAAGCCUGACGGAGCAAUGCCGCGUGAAUGAAGAAGGUCUUCGGAUCGUAAAGUUCUGUCAUUAGGGAAGAAAGGUAUGUAUGUAAAUAAUGUACAUAUUUGACGGUACCUAAGGAGGAAGCCACGGCUAACUACGUG
rnacentral:rRNA from 1 species